rnacentral:rRNA from 1 species
AUUGAACGCUGGCGGCGUGCUUUACACAUGCAAGUCGAACGGUAGAGGGGGCAACCCCUUGAGAGUGGCGAACGGGUGAGUAAUGCAUCGGAACGUGCCCAGUCGUGGGGGAUAACGCAGCGAAAGCUGUGCUAAUACCGCAUACGAUCUCUGGAUGAAAGCGGGGGACCGAAAGGCCUCGCGCGAUUGGAGCGGCCGAUGUCAGAUUAGGUAGUUGGUGGGGUAAAGGCUCACCAAGCCAACGAUCUGUAGCUGGUCUGAGAGGACGACCAGCCAAACGGGGACUGAGACACGGCCCAGACUACUACGGGAGGCAGCAGUGGGGAAUUUUGGACAAUGGGCGCAAGCCUGAUCCAGCAAUGCCGCGUGCAGGAAGAAGGCCUUCGGGUUGUAAACUGCUUUUGUACGGAACGAAAAGGUCUGGGUUAAUACCCUGGGCACAUGACGGUACCGUAAGAAUAAGCACCGGCUAACUACGUGCCAGCAGCCGCCGUAA